rnacentral:tRNA from 1 species
GAAGGGGCCGUAGCUCAGGGGAGGAGCCUCUGCUUUGCACGCAGAAAGUGCCCGGUUCAAUCCCCAGCCCCUUCA